CAAAAGCACAUUUUUUACACCUUUGGACAAUUAUGACAACAGUAUUUUUUAUUCUUAAAAUAUGGAGAAAAAAAAUCCAACAAGUGUGUAAUAAUAUUUAAAAAUUAAAAACCUGUCGCCUGGAUCACCUUGAAAGUUAUACAAAAUAUACAAUUACCAUCACAGAAUGCACAUCAGUUUGUUCAGAGCGUUCACUUCCCAUACAAGUGCAAACAGCUGUGGGGCUGCCAGGAAGAGUUAGUCAACUAAAAGUAUUAAAAACCGGAGAUGGGAUAGACGUAUCAUGGACAAAACCUAUAAAACCGGCUGGUCCGAUUGAUUAUUACGAUUUGAUUAUAGCACAUGACAGUAGGCCCACAAAUUCACAAUCUACAAAUGACAGUUCAUCUUCAUCCACCUCUUUAGAUUCCAUACGAUUACAGGAAAAUUCAAACAAUUUAAUAUACCAAUUUAUACCAAAUUUUAAGGAUAAACUCAAUCCUUGUGAACGGCUACAAAAUCAUAACUGUAAUCAUAAAUUUUGGAGUCAACAAAAGUUUUUAAUUGCUGUACGAGCUGUAAAUAGAAAUCCACUUGAUCCUGAAAGUCCA